rnacentral:rRNA from 1 species
CGAAAAACCUUACCUACCCUUGACAUGCCUGGAAUCCUGCAGAGAUGUGGGAGUGCUCGAAAGAGAACCAGGACACAGGUGCUGCAUGGCCGUCGUCAGCUCGUGUCGUGAGAUGUUGGGUUAAGUCCCGCAACGAGCGCAACCCUUGUCAUUAGUUGCUACGAAAGGGCACUCUAAUGAGACUGCCGGUGACAAACCGGAGGAAGGUGGGGAUGACGUCAGGUCCUCAUGGCCCUUAUGGGUAGGGCUACACACGUCAUACAAUGGCCGGUACAGAGGGCUGCCAACCCGCGAGGGGGAGCUAAUCCCAGAAAACCGGUCGUAGUCCGGAUCGCAGUCUGCAACUCGACUGCGUGAAGUCGGAAUCGCUAGUAAUCGCGGAUCAGCUUGCCGCGGUGAAUACGUUCCCGGGUCUUGUACACACCGCCCGUCACACCAUGGGAGCGGGUUCUGCCAGAAGUAGUUAGCCUAACCGCAAGGAGGGCGAUUACCACGGCAGGGUUCGUGACUGGGGUGAAGUCGUAACAAGGUAGCCGUAUCGGAAGGUGCGGCUGGAUCACCUCCUU